UACGAAGGGGGCUAGCGUUGUUCGGAAUUACUGGGCGUAAAGCGCACGCAGGCGGUCUUUUUAGUUAGGCGUGAAAGUCCUGGGCUCAACCUGGGGAUUGCGCUUAAUACUGGAAGGCUAGAGUCCGUGAGAGGGUGGUGGAAUUCCCAGUGUAGAGGUGAAAUUCGUAGAUAUUGGGAAGAACACCGGUGGCGAAGGCGACCACCUGGCACGGUACUGACGCUCAUGUGCGAAAGCGUGGGGAGCAAACAGG
rnacentral:rRNA from 1 species